rnacentral:rRNA from 1 species
UGGGGAAUAUUGGACAAUGGGCGCAAGCCUGAUCCAGCCAUGCCGCGUGAGUGAUGAAGGCCUUAGGGUUGUAAAGCUCUUUUGUCCGGGAAGAUAAUGACUGUACCGGAAGAAUAAGCCCCGGCUAACUUCGUGCCAGCAGCCGCGGUAAUACGAAGGGGGCUAGCGUUGCUCGGAAUCACUGGGCGUAAAGGGCGCGUAGGCGGACUCUUAAGUCGGGGGUGAAAGCCCAGGGCUCAACCCUGGAAUUGCCUUCGAUACUGAGAGUCUUGAGUUCGGAAGAGGUUGGUGGAACUGCGAGUGUAGAGGUGAAAUUCGUAGAUAUUCGCAAGAACACCAGUGGCGAAGGCGGCCAACUGGUCCGAUACUGACGCUGAGGCGCGAAAGCGUGGGGAUCAAACAGG